UCGAGAAUCUUCGGCAAUGGGCGAAAGCCUGACCGAGCGAUGCGGCGUGCGGGAUGAAGGCCUUCGGGUUGUAAACCGCUGUCGUAGGGGAGAAAGGGUCGUUGAAGAAACGACUUUGAUCUAUCCUAGGAGGAAGUCCGGGCUAAGUUCGUGCCAGCAGCCGCGGUAACACGAACCGGACAAACGUUAUUCGGAAUUACUGGGCUUAAAGGGUGCGUAGGCGGUGCGGUAAGUGCGGUGUGAAAUCCCACGGCUCAACCGUGGAAUUGCGCUGCAUACUGCCGUGCUAGAGGGAGACAGGGGUAAGCGGAACUGAUGGUGGAGCGGUGAAAUGCGUUGAUAUCAUCAGGAACACCGGUGGCGAAAGCGGCUUACUGGGUCUCUUCUGACGCUGAGGCACGAAAGCUAGGGUAGCGAACGGGAUUAGAUACCCCCGUAGUCCCUGAGCGGGCUGGCAAGGCGCAU
rnacentral:rRNA from 1 species